UGGGGAAUUUUGGACAAUGGGCGCAAGCCUGAUCCAGCAAUGCCGCGUGCAGGAUGAAGGCCUUCGGGUUGUAAACUGCUUUUGUACGGAACGAAAAAGCUCUCUCUAAUACAGGGGGUGAAUGACGGUACCGUAAGAAUAAGCACCGGCUAACUACGUGCCAGCAGCCGCGGUAAUACGUAGGGUGCAAGCGUUAAUCGGAAUUACUGGGCGUAAAGCGUGCGCAGGCGGUUUUGUAAGACAGAGGUGAAAUCCCCGGGCUCAACCUGGGAACUGCCUUUGUGGCUGCAAAGCUGGAGUGCGGCAGAGGGGGAUGGAAUUCCGCGUGUAGCAGUGAAAUGCGUAGAUAUGCGGAGGAACACCGAUGGCGAAGGCAAUCCCCUGGGCCUGCACUGACGCUCAUGCACGAAAGCGUGGGGAGCAAACA
rnacentral:rRNA from 1 species